CCAUCCGCAAAUCCACAAUAGUAAGAGCAUUUCUAUAGCGCUUUGAGGUUUCUCAGCAGCCUUGUCCUAUUACCAACUUCACUCAUCACUCCCAACUGGCCAAGGGCCCCAAUGCAUACUUUUGAUAUAUAAAGCACAGAGUUCCCCCAGAAGAGAUAACGUUUGGCAGAUGAUCAAGUUAAUAAAAAUGUAUCUUGGUGAAGGACCAACCAGCCAUUAAUGAAGAUGGCCUCUUCCUUCUCGAGCUUUGUUUAGAGACAGAAGUUUAAUGACUUGAUUUUUUUAAAAGUCCACGUAUUAUUUUGACUGUCUCUGUACUUCUAGGCACAGAGCUUCAAAGCAAUUUCACUCUUAAAAGAAGCCCAACCAAAAACAACGAAAAGUUUACCAUGAAGAUCAGAUAAGUCAAUAAGCAUUUACACCUACUAUGUGAAAGGCACUGUGCUAAACACUGGGAAUUCAAAGAAACAUCAAAAGGAAAAGACAGCUUGGGGAAAAAGAAAGAAUGCUGGAAACAGGCAGAUAAAGUGAGUGAGUAUAGCUAUAAAGAAGAUAUAGAUGUAGAUAUAAAGGAUAUAUUUAGAUACAGAGGAGAGAGAGAAUUAGGUUCUCCUACCAAUUAAUCUUGGACAAGACCCAAACCUCAAGUUUCCUGAACUCACCAUCUGGUAGGAAUGUUCCUGAAAAUCAAAUGAGAUGUCUAAUGUAUUACAUAGUUUUAGAACUAUAAUGCAAUAUACAAUUGCAAUUAUUUAUCAGAAACAUACACCUUUAGAGUCAGAAUGACCUUAGCAGUGAGUCAGUCCAACUCUUCCAUUUUACAGAGAAGAAAGAGAACAGACUCAGAAAAACUAAACAACCUACCUAAGGUCAUAUGAACAAUAAUGAUGAACUAGUGUGUGAAUCCACCAGGUCCCCUGAAUCUAAGUCCAGUGCUCAGUUCUCUUUCCAGUAUAAGAAGUUGUCUCCAUGUUUGGAAGAGGAGGAAGAGAAAUUGCUACCUCUGUCCAGCAGAAGUUUGGAUGAAAUAUGGAGAGAACAGUAAGUAGCAACCACCACCUUGAAGGAGACUGGGAAGAAAGACAUAAGUGAUAAAGGAAAUGAUGUGAGAAACUACCCCAUCUCCUCCUGUGUUUCACAUGGAAGCCUUCACCGAGUUCUGCAUACCACCCCCAAUUUCACCCGAGGCUGCUACUGACCCCCUGGAUCAUUCCAGCACCUCCCAAGGGAUGGUGUCACCCAUUUUGGGAACCUAUGAUAGAGUUUGUAGAAAUAUCCACCGGAGCCAGUCACUGAGUCCUUGGAGAAGUAGUAGCUGCAUCAUGAGCUAACAGACGUAUUGAAACUAACUAGACUCACCAAGUAAAGGUAGCUUCAGGAUUCUACAAGGGCACUGACCCCCAGACUCCAGCAGAGAAACCUGCCUAAAUGGGAACUUCAUGAAGGCUGAAUGAGAGGAGAAAAGAACUGCCAGUAACCACAAGCUGUGAGUUUACUG